rnacentral:rRNA from 1 species
GUAGGUGGCAAGCGUUGUCCGGAAUUAUUGGGCGUAAAGCGCGCGCAGGCGGUCCUUUAAGUCUGAUGUGAAAGCCCACGGCUCAACCGUGGAGGGUCAUUGGAAACUGGGGGACUUGAGUACAGAAGAGGAAAGCGGAAUUCCAAGUGUAGCGGUGAAAUGCGUAGAGAUUUGGAGGAACACCAGUGGCGAAGGCGGCUUUCUGGUCUGUAACUGACGCUGAGGCGCGAAGCGUGGGGAGCAAACAGGAUUAGAUAUCCUGGUAGUCCACGCCGUAAACGAUGAGUGCUAAGUGUUAGGGGGUUUCCCGCCCCUUAGUGCUGCAGCUAACGCAUUAAGCACUCCGCCUGGGGAGUACGGCCGCAAGGCUG